UACGAAGGGGGCUAGCGUUGCUCGGAAUCACUGGGCGUAAAGCGCACGUAGGCGGAUUGCUAAGUCAGGGGUGAAAUCCUGGAGCUCAACUCCAGAACUGCCUUUGAUACUGAAGAUCUUGAGUUCGGGAGAGGUGAGUGGAACUGCGAGUGUAGAGGUGAAAUUCGUAGAUAUUCGCAAGAACACCAGUGGCGAAGGCGGCUCACUGGCCCGAUACUGACGCUGAGGCACGAAGCGUGGGAGCAAACAGG
rnacentral:rRNA from 1 species